AUGAUGAUGGUGGGGAUUUAGUAUUUACUCUUUUCAAAAUUUCAUGACUUUCCUGGUUGAUUAAAAGACGCCGUCAGCUUUAUCUAUUUGUAACUCUUGGAUAGAUAAUUACACUCAUUAACUUUAUAUUAGCCAUUUUUUCCUUAUUAAUUAACGUAACGAUGAUGAUGUUUUAGUAUGUACGUGGUUUUUCUAAAUUUCAUGGUCUUCCUAAUUGAUUGCAAGACGCCAUCAGUUUUAUCUAUUUAAUUGUAGCUCCUGAAUAGAUAAUUACAUUCAUCAACUUUAGAUUAGCCAGUUUUUAUCUAAUUAAUUAACGUAAAUGAUUGACUAUUGGGUGUAAGUUAGCGUGGUAGCUCUGGGUAGGUAAUUGCAUUCAUUAACUUUAGAUUCGCCCGUUUUUUUAUUAAUUAACGUAAAUGAUUGACUAUUGGGCGUAAGUUAGCGUGGUAGCUCUGGGUAGGUAAUUGCAUUCAUUAACUCUCAAUUAGUUAGUUUGUCCCACAUGGUUAACGUAAAUUAUUGAAAAUUGGGUUUAUAUUAACGUAGAAUUUUCCCCGCAAUUGAUUUGGAAUUUAAAUUAGUGUCAUCAUUAUUUUAGUACGUAGUUAAUGAAUUUGUGCAUCAUUCAUGAGACCAUUUUCACCUCAUACACAUUUUCACGUUCAUUUGACUGAAAAGUGCUUGAAAAAAAAGUUACGAUUGCAUUUUUCGGGUUUGGAAAAAAUAUUUGCUAGAAAUUCAAAUUCGUCAAAACAAAAAUUGUGUGAAAUAUAGAAAAAAAAGAACACGGAACCACAAGUCGGCUCAAAACAUAACAGAUUUAACAAAAAUAUAAAAUAACACUGGAGAAAAAACGAACGAAAUAUUUUGAAUUAUUACAUUUUAUAAAGAGUUGGUGGUCCUGGUGAAAAAUUAAACUAAAAAAACUCUACAGCCACAAACAGAGGACAGUAGGAAUUCCAGUAACAUGUUCAAGUUCUAGGAAGGAAAGAAACAAAAGCGGAAGAAUGAUUCAAAACUUACAAAUCAAAGCCAAAACUGGGAAACAAACAAACAAACAAACAAACAAAACAGGAAUAAUCAUCAAUUUUCAAAAGAACACGCGUGGUGAAACUGAAGCAAAAAACACAAGCAAAUGCGUUUACACAUCAAUAAUUUAAAUACUUACAAAUAAAAUGGAUUGUGUGCUAAAACUAAAAACGAAUGCCAAAUUUUAAAAGGACAGUGACUUGCUUUAUGGAUUCCAGUAUUACACCCAAAACUAAAGUGCCAUAAAGUUUGGAGCACAAGGAAUUAGGUUUGCACAUCAGUAAUUCAGAUUCUUACAUAUACAGCAAUAACACAGACACUUACAAAUAUACCAAGGAUACUUAAAACUACAAUAGUAACUCUGAUUCCUACAAAUACUACAAUAAUACAGAUACAAAUAAAAAGAUAGUUGGAGCAUGGGAAAAAAACUAAACUAAACAGGAAUCGUGAAGUUUUAAAUGAACACUGGCUUUUUAAAUUCCAGUAUUACACCGGAAACGAAAGUCCACCACCAAACAGAUAACAGGUAAACACAACAGGUAAACAACAGGUGGCCUUAACACAGGUAAACACAACAAACAGGUAGACGAAACAGGUAAACACAACAACAGGUAAACACAACAGGUAAACAACAGGUGGCCAUAACACACAGGUAAACACAACAAACAGGUAGACGCAACAGGUAAACACAACAACAGGUAAACACAACAGGUAAACAACAGGUGGCCAAAACACUCUGGCAAACAACAAACAGGUAGACACAACAGGUAAAUACAGCAACAGGUAAACAAAACAACAGGUAAACAACAAACAGUAACAACGAAAAAUAAACCUAAUUGAAUGAAGAACAAGAAAAAAAAAGAAGCAAAACAAAACAAAUAACAAGAUCAAUGCACGGGAAAUGAUUGCUUAGAAGAGUCGAAGUGUAAACAAACAAACAAGGAAGCAAACAAAACAAGGAAGCAAACAAAACAAGCAAGCAAAUGGAGAAGAAAUAGACACAACAUUUAAACAACACAACAACAGGUAAACACAACACAACAGGUAAACGCAACACAAAUUAGCCCAACACUCACCUGUCCAUCAGUUAAUUACUCGUGCUGAAAGGUGCUCAACGCCACGCCCACUCAGGUAACAGCCUCUCAGCACGGCGACAAUCUAUUAGCACUCCGUUAAUAAGUGAACAUAAUUACCGAGCGUCCGUAAUGAGAGAAAUUGGUGAUAAUGGUGAUAACGACACCUCUUAAUACCUCUUAGCGCGGCGCCGGGGUAUUAAUAUUGCGUAAUGAACCAGAUACGAUGACCUCGUGUACGUGAUAUGAGUUUGGGGUUACAUAAUGACACCUGUUUCGUAAGGUAUACUGAAAUGUUGACACCCACCUGUUGUGUUAAUGGUGUAUAAUGACCCACCUAAUGAUGACCUCUAAGAUGGCAUAAUGAACCGGACAUAACUACCAUGUCACCUUAAUUAUGAUGGUUGAUAAUGACCUACAAUGAGUUAACAAUGUAUAAUGAUACCCACCGAUUGAGGACCUUUGACAUACCAUAAUGAACUUGAUAUAACUUCCAUUUCCUCAUAACUAUAAUUGAGAUGAUGUAAUUUGUCAACGUUAUACUUUUCAUAACAUAAUAACGUCUUCAAUCACGCAUACGGUCAUGAUAGUGUAGAUUGAAUACGUAAUCCAGUGAACGGUGUAUUAGUGGUGUGAUUUGUCAUUAUCCAAAUUUGAAUGAUGUAAUAGUCUUGUCAAAGUCUCUCAGUCUCAACGAUGCACAAUAUAAAAAAUAGGCCGUAAGCAACAAACAAACAAACAAACAAACAAUUCCUCUUUUUUUUUUUUUUCUUUCCCCUUCUCCUCCUCCUCUUCCUCCUCGUCUCUUCCCUUCUUCCCUCCUAUCCCUCUUUUUUUUGUUUUCUCUUUCCCCUCCUCCUCCUCCUCAUCAUCUCUUCCCUUCUUCCCUCCUAUCCCUCUCUUUUUUGUUUUUUUCCUUCCCCUCCUCCUCCUCCUUCUCUUCCUCCACCUCCUCAUCUCUUCCCUUCUCCCUUCCUAUCCCACAUUUCUUUCCUCUUUCUCUUCCCUUUGAUCCUUUAUCCUUUCUCACCCUCUUCUUCCUCUUACUUCCCCUCGUCCUCUUUCCUCUUUCUCUUCCUUUCUACUCAGUUUCUCACCCUCUUCCUCCUCUUACUCUCCGCUCAGUUUAUCACCCUCUUCUUCCUCUCACUUCCACUCGUCCUCUUUCCUCUUACUCCUCCUUUCCGCUCAGUUUCUCACCCUCUUCCUCCUCAUACUUUCCCUGCUCCUCUUUCCUCUUCCUCUUCCUUUCCACUCAGUUUCUCACCCUCUUCCUCCUCUUACUGUCCCUCCUCUUCCCCCUAUUCGUUCGCUAAAAGUAAGUAAAAUAAAGAGGAAUAAAGAACAGGAACAAAUCAAGUUAAAAGGAAAAAAAUAUACCGAACCCGGAUAUGUGAGUGAACCCCAAAGUAAAAAAAAGAAAGAAAAGAAAAUGAAAGCCCAAAGAGAGGUAAAGAAAGCCCACCUGUGCCGCCUUGAAAGCACGCCCUCACCUGCAUCAAUACGCUAAUUAGAAGCAGGUGUGUUCUGUCCAGGUAUUAAUGCGCGUCUCCGUGGGCAACGUAUAUAUACCUGGUACCAUUAGUGGGAUUAGCUGAAAGGGGGGGAAGGGAGGAGAAAGGAGAGAAGAGGAGGGAGAAGGGGGGGAAGAGGAGACGGAGAGGAGGGCGAAGAAAAGAGAAAGUGGAGGAGGGAGGAGGAAAGAAGAGUGGAAGAAAGAAUUAGAGAGAAAAAUGUGGAGGGAGGAAGGAGGAGGAAGGGAGAGAUAGGAGAGAGAAAAUAUGAGAGAAAGAAAGGAAAAGGAAAGAGAGGAAGGGAACGGAAAAAAAAGAAAGCAAAAAGAGGGAAAAAAAGAGCAGAGGUGAAAGGGGAAGGAGAAGGAAAGAGGAGAUGAGGAGGGAAGAGGAAAGAAAGGGUUGGGAGAGAGAAUAUGAGAGAAAGCUGGAGAUGGAACGAAAAGAAGAUAAUAGAGAGAAAAGGGGAAGAAGAGGCGAGAAGGAAAAAAAGAAAAAAGAAGAGGGGAGAAAAGAUAGUGGCAAUGUUUGUGGUAGAGAUUUAGAAAAGGAAAGAAGGGGAAAAAAGAAGGGAUUAGGAAGAGGAAGAGGAAGAAACGAAAGUAAAAGUGCCUAAGUUUAGAGGAAGAAGGAAAAAAAAGGGAAAUGAAAAGAGACCGUCAGAAGAGAGGAAAACAGGGUAAGAAAAAGAGGAAAAAAGAGCUGGUUAGGAAGAGGAAGGGAAAAAAAGGAAAGUAAAGGGGGCAAAGUUUAAGAGGAAGGAAAAGGGAAAAAAAAGGAAAGGAAAAAAAACUGACAUGCUUACGUUUGGGGAAAGUUCAGGAGAGAGGAAAACAGGGGAAAGGAAAAUGGGGAAAAGAGGGGAAGAGGGAGAGGAAUAGGGUAAGAAAGGAAAGUAAAAGUGGGUAAGUUUAAGAGGAGAAGGAAAAGAAAAAAAUAGGGAAUGGAAAAAUGCGAUACUGUAGCUUAUGUUAGGGGAAAAGAGUUCAGAAGAGAGGAAAACAAGGGAAAGGAAAAUGGGGAAAAAGAGGGGAAGAGGGAGAGGAAAAUGGGAAGAAAGUAAAAUUAAAUUGGCUAAGUUUAAGAGGAGGAAGGAAAAAAAGGGAAAGGAAAAGAAAAGACUAACACUGAAGGUUAUGUUGGGGGAAAGAGUUCUGAAGAGAGGAAAACAGGGGAAGAAAAUGGGGAAAAAGUGAGGAAGAGGAAGAGGGGGAAGAAACGAAAGUAAAAGUCGCUAAGUUUAAGAGGAGGAAGGAAAAAAAAGGGAAAGGAAAAAAAAAGACUGAUACAAGCUUACGUUAGAGGAAAGUUCAGAAGAGAGGAAAACAGGGGAAGAAAAUGGGGAAAAAGAGAGGAAGAGGAAGAGGGGGAAGAAACGAAAGUAAAAGUCGCUAAGUUUAAGAGGAGGAAGGAA